rnacentral:rRNA from 1 species
AACGAACGCUGGCGGCAUGCCUAACACAUGCAAGUCGAACGAUCACUUCGGUGAUAGUGGCGCACGGGUGCGUAACGCGUGGGAAUCUGCCCUGGGGUACGGAAUAACUCAGAGAAAUUUGAGCUAAUACCGUAUGAUGACGUAAGUCCAAAGAUUUAUCGCCCUGGGAUGAGCCCGCGUCGGAUUAGCUAGUUGGUGAGGUAAAGGCUCACCAAGGCGACGAUCCGUAGCUGGUCUGAGAGGAUGAUCAGCCACACUGGGACUGAGACACGGCCCAGACUCCUACGGGAGGCAGCAGUGGGGAAUAUUGGACAAUGGGCGAAAGCCUGAUCCAGCAAUGCCGCGUGAGUGAUGAAGGCCCUAGGGUUGUAAAGCUCUUUUACCCGGGAUGAUAAUGACAGUACCGGGAGAAUAAGCCCCGGCUAACUCCGUGCCAGCAGCCGCGGUAA